CGUUCAAAAAGCAGUGCUCAAUAAAUACCACAGUUAACUAUAAUUCUAACAUACCAAUUCAUAUAAAACAAAACAUAUUUAAUAUGGAAUACACUAAAAUCAAAAAUAGAACUAGUAUAAAUACUAAGCAAAUCGAACAUUUAAAUACACUAAAGAAAAAAUUUAUUCUUUCAGGAUACCCAAACAGAAUUCUUAAUAUUUGGGAGACAGAAAUAGAUAAAAAAACAGAUAAAACAAUAAGAAUAGAUCCUAAACAAGCAGAAAUAAAAUACAUUCGUUUUCCAUACAUAAAAGGUUUAUACGAAGAAGUCAAUAAGGAAGUCAAAAAAAUUAAUGUAAAACUUGUACCGACAUAUGAUAAGCUACUCUCCAGAUUAAAUGCAAAACAAGUUAACAAAACAAAUAUAACAAAUAAAGAAGAAAGUAAAAAUGUAGUCUAUAAAAUUCCGUGUACAUGCGAAAAUAAAAAAUUUUAUAUAGGUGAAACUAAACGUAAAGUUAAAGUAAGAUUGAAAGAACAUAUAGCCGAUUUGAAAUAUCGUAGACUAAAUUCUGCUUUUCAUGAACACUGCCUUUUGAAUAAUUGUAAUAUAGAUAAAAAUAAUAUAGAUAUCUUACACAGAGAAAGAGAUACAUACAAAAGAAAAUUCAAGGAAAGUAUAGAAAUAAUCAAAAAUCAAAAUAGUAUAAAUAAAAAUCCUAGCAUCUCAAUAAACGAAAACUGGUUAAAAAUUUUAUAUUAAUUGUAUUCACUAGAUUCAAACUAUUAUUAUUGUGAUCAAUGUGCUAAUUAAUAAUAACGAUUGAACUGUUACAUAAAUCAACAAUAACAAAAAACUGUAAUGUUGUAACGGGAAUCAAAUAAUAUGUAAAUUUAUAUUAAAUGUUAAUCCUGUUUACCAACCUCAAGACAUUGUAAUGUCAUUAGUUCAUAUAAUAAUCUAUAAUAUUAAAUACUGUAAUGUUAAAUAAAUCAACAAUCAUAUAUUGUAAAAAUAUAGUAGAUGUCAGAUAUGUAAAUUUAUAUUGUAGAAGUUAUGUAAAUUCGUAUUAUAUUGUCAAUGCGUAUCAAAGGAAAUAAGGAUUUAGUAAAACAGAUUUAUGAGUAAAAAGCAUAAUCAAUUGUAUACCAAUUUGAUAAUUGUUGUCUAAGGUAUAUUUUAGAUCAAGGAUUUUGUAAGACUGUUUUAUAAGUAAAAGGUAUAAUCAAUUUUGUACAGUACAACCUUAAUAACAGCCGUACUCAAGUAGGCUACAAGAAAAAAUACUGUGAAUAAGCUGAUGUUGCUGAAAAAAUAUCGAAAGUAAACUGCUACUUUAAUUUAUAAGACUUGUAUGGAUAGUUGACUGAAGAGGGGCUUAAGAGCCCGAAACG